ACAGUACAAACUGAGCAGGCGAUGAACCGACAAGGUCAUGGGGCCGGGCCGCCGUGUGCGGCAGCAGAUGAAAUGUGUUAUGACAUCUGUGGGACAGU
rnacentral:ncRNA from 1 species